rnacentral:rRNA from 1 species
UACGUAGGGUGCAAGCGUUGUCCGGAAUUAUUGGGCGUAAAGAGCUCGUAGGCGGUCUGUCGCGUCGGCUAUGAAAUCCCGAGGCUCAACCUCGGGUCUGCAGUCGAUACGGGCAAACUAGAGUAUUGCAGGGGAGACUGGAAUUCCUGGUGUAGCGGUGAAAUGCGCAGAUAUCAGGAGGAACACCGGUGGCGAAGGCGGGUCUCUGGGCCGAAACUGACGCUGAGGAGCGAAAGCGUGGGGAGCAAACAGG